rnacentral:snoRNA from 1 species
CCAACAUGGAUGCAACCGGGGAAAUGUCUCCUCUAGGAUACUGUGCAGGUGGCAUUGGAGGGAUAAGGCUCUGCCCCAUGAUGGACAGCCCCUGUCCGUAGCUUUGGCAAUGAAGCCUGGCCUUGUGUCUGUGUCUCCCUCCAUUAGCCUGUAAGCUUCUGAGAGUCCCUGGGUGAUGAAUAAGAAGGAACAUCACAAGCUGGAGAUAGAC